rnacentral:ncRNA from 1 species
GGUCUACGCGCCGACCUAACAAUGCGCGACGGCUGGUUACGGUAACGACCUAAAAACUUCCAA